rnacentral:lncRNA from 1 species
GGUGAGUCCUCUCUCUUGCUCUUGCUUGCUUGCACUGAUGAAGUAAGCUGCCACGUUGUGAGAUGCUCAACGAAGAGGCCCAUGAGGCAGGGCACCGAGGGAGGCUUCUGGCCAACAGCUCCUGGGGAACCAAGGCCUUAGGAAGUGAGUCCUGCCAACAAUAACGAGAGCCUUGAACUUUGAAACCACAGUACCUUGUUCCAGCGUGGAAAGCAGCGUGGCACUUCCCGGUGGUGAAAGCACCCCAGCUUGAAAGGGUGAAAACACCUUCUCCCAGAUAGUCUCCCUUUGUUUAGCCAGUGCUUUUGCCUUAAGGAAAUCAAAUGAAGUGUAUGAAAUAGCGGCUGACUUUUGUGACAAUUUUCCACCCAGUUUUGUGAUAGUAAUUUCGCUGCAUUCUUCAACUUAGAUGGCAAGUCCUCUUAGCAAGGCUGGCCUAAUUCUAUGUUUUCUAUGGCACCUAGUCACUAUGGCUGUGCAAGAGCCAUUAUUACCCAAAGUACCAUAAUAAUGGUCAUGUCCUCCUAUGACGUUAUUGUUUCCUAUCUGUCAGGACAUUAAUUGUCUUCUAACUUGCUCUAAAAUUGGUAGCAUGGCACACUGCCAAGACUAGAGAGAAGCAAGCUGCUGGUGAUAUAUUAAAAGGCUGUGUAAAAGGAAAAAAAAAAAAAAAAAA